GUUCUGAGGUAAUUUGUAGUUGUGUGUUUUUUACUGCUUAUGUACAAUUUGUUAUGUUCUGAAGUAACUUGUAGUUGUGUGUUUUAUACUGCUGGUGUACAAUCUGUUAUGUUCUAAAGUAAUUUGUAGUUGUGUGUUUUAUACUGUUGGUGUACAAUUUGUUAUGUUCUGAAGUAACUUGUGGUUGUGUGUUUUAUAUUUCUUAUGUACAAUUUGUUCUGUUCUGAAGUAACUUGUAGUUGUGUGUUUUUUUACUGCUUAUGUACAAUUUGUUAUGUUCUGAAGUAACUUGUAGUUGUGUGUUUUAUAUUGCUUGUGUACAAUUUGUUCUGUUCUGAAGUAAUUUGUAGAACUUUGUUUGUUUUAUACUGCUUAUGUACAAUCUGUUAUGUUCUGAAGUAACUUGUAGUUGUGUGUUUUAUACUGCUGGUGUACAAUCUGUUAUGUUCUGAAGUAACUUGCAGUUGUGUUUUAUACUGCUGAUGUACAAUCUGUUAUGUUCUGAAGUAACAUGUAGUUAUGUGUGUU
rnacentral:lncRNA from 1 species